CGCUGGCGGCGUGCUUACACAUGCAAGUCGAACGAUGAACCCACUUCGGUGGGGGAUUAGUGGCGAACGGGUGAGUAACACGUGGGCAAUCUGCCCUGCACUCUGGGACAAGCCCUGGAAACGGGGUCUAAUACCGGAUACGACCACUUCAGGCAUCUGAUGGUGGUGGAAAGCUCCGGCGGUGCAGGAUGAGCCCGCGGCCUAUCAGCUUGUUGGUGAGGUAACGGCUCACCAAGGCGACGACGGGUAGCCGGCCUGAGAGGGCGACCGGCCACACUGGGACUGAGACACGGCCCAGACUCCUACGGGAGGCAGCAGUGGGGAAUAUUGCACAAUGGGCGAAAGCCUGAUGCAGCGACGCCGCGUGAGGGAUGACGGCCUUCGGGUUGUAAACCUCUUUCAGCAGGGAAGAAGCGAAAGUGACGGUACCUGCAGAAGAAGCGCCGGCUAACUACGUGCCAGCAGCCGCGGUAAUACGUAGGGCGCAAGCGUUGUCCGGAAUUAUUGGGCGUAAAGAGCUCGUAGGCGGCUUGUCGCGUCGGAUGUGAAAGCCCGGGGCUUAACCCCGGGUCUGCAUUCGAUACGGGCAGGCUAGAGUUCGGUAGGGGAGAUCGGAAUUCCUGGUGUAGCGGUGAAAUGCGCAGAUAUCAGGAGGAACACCGGUGGCGAAGGCGGAUCUCUGGGCCGAUACUGACGCUGAGGAGCGAAAGCGUGGGGAGCGAACAGGAUUAGAUACCCUGGUAGUCCACGCCGUAAACGUUGGGAACUAGGUGUGGGCGACAUUCCACGUCGUCCGUGCCGCAGCUAACGCAUUAAGUUCCCCGCCUGGGGAGUACGGCCGCAAGGCUAAAACUCAAAGGAAUUUGACGGGGGCCCGCA
rnacentral:rRNA from 1 species